UACGUAGGGGGCUAGCGUUAUCCGGAAUUACUGGGCGUAAAGGGUGCGUAGGUGGUUUCUUAAGUCAGAGGUGAAAGGCUACGGCUCAACCGUAGUAAGCCUUUGAAACUGGGGAACUUGAGUGCAGGAGAGGAGAGUGGAAUUCCUAGUGUAGCGGUGAAAUGCGUAGAUAUUAGGAGGAACACCAGUUGCGAAGGCGGCUCUCUGGACUGUAACUGACACUGAGGCACGAAAGCGUGGGAAGCAAACAGG
rnacentral:rRNA from 1 species